rnacentral:rRNA from 1 species
UACGUAGGUGGCGAGCGUUGUCCGGAUUUACUGGGCGUAAAGAGCGCGCAGGCGGUCGUUCAAGUCGCGUGUGAAAGCCCCCGGCUCAACUGGGGAGGGUCACGCGAUACUGAUCGACUCGAAGGCAGGAGAGGGAAGUGGAAUUCCCGGUGUAGUGGUGAAAUGCGUAGAUAUCGGGAGGAACACCAGUGGCGAAGGCGACUUCCUGGCCUGUUCUUGACGCUGAGGCGCGAAAGCUAGGGGAACAAACGGG